ACAGCAAACAAUGUUAUUUUAAAAAAAUUCUCCGUGUUUUUGAUCUGGUUUUACAUAGCAUCCUGUUUUAAUUUUUAUAGCACAAUAUAAGCAUUUGUCGAUAUUUAACCCGUGAAAUAUAGCAAUUCUCACAUUACGGGGUUAAAACCCCCAGAAAUGUGCCUGGGGAUGGCCGGGAGGUGCCUCUGUCCCCGGGGCUGACACCAGCAGGGCUGUGGUCCAUGGCAGGGCUCCUCUUCAGCUGAUGCAAACCUUGUCUGAAGAAUCGGAGCUCACACGGCUUUAUUUUAUUUUUAACACCGUGACAACCGCACAGCCAGGCUGCUUUAACCUCCUGGCUUUGGGAAUUUAAAUAAACUCAGCGAGGAUGUAAUGAAGACAUGAGACCCUCCCAGGAGUUCUCAAUUCCCAGUUCCCAUUCUCCUCCCCAUUCCCAGUUUUCCAAUCCCAAUUUCUCAUCACAUUUCCUUUUCCCAAUUUUCCAUUCCCAGAUUAGCAUUCCCAGUUUCCCAUUCCCAUUUUUCCAUUCCCAAUUUCUCAUCCUAUUUCCUUUUCCCAAUUUUCCAUUUCCAGUUUCCCAUUCCCAUUUUUCCAUUCCCAGUUUCCCAUUGCCAGGUUCCCAUCCCCAGUUUUCCAUUCCCAAUUUCCCAUCCCCAGUUCCCAUUCCUCUUCCCAGUUUCCCAUUCCCAGUUCCCAUUCCUCUUCCCAGUUUCCCAUUCCCAGUUUCCCAUCCCCAGUUCUUGUCCGCAGGUCAGCGGAGAGCAGGGAUAACUCUGGGUCUUAGUGCACGUCCUGAGACAGAAGGAACACGGAUCUUCCUUUUCCUGCCUCAUCCCAAAUCCCAUUUCCCGAGCCCUCCCUGCCCCCCGGCAGCCCAGGAGCAGAGAGCAGCGCCCCAUCCCCGCUUCACACUUAAUUAAUGUUCUCUGAACGACCUUGAGAGAGCCACACCGGAGUAUUGGCUCGUCUAAAUGUGGGAAGAAAAGAGCUCUAAUGAAAGAAUGAUAAAAAUACAGGAUUAAACAGUGUUUGGAGAUCCUUCCAGCUCUUAAAUUGGUAAAAGUUGCUUUAAGUCUUUUUAUGAGUAGCAGGGGGAAAAAAAAAAAAGCGACGUUUCUUUUUUGGUUUUGAUCAGGUUUUACAUAAAGUUGUGUUCCAGAUUUUAUAGCAAAACAUAAGCAUUUGUCUAUAUUUAGCUUUUAAAACAGCAUAAUUAACGUAUUAUUUUGCUGAACCCCUCAGAAAUGUGCCUGAACACAUUGCUGUAGUUCUUCACUGUGUUACCUAUUCAGAAACACAUUGCAGUUUACUGUGUAUGUUUUCUUUAAAAACAAAAUUUGAAUUAUGUAAGUCGAAAAUACAACAGAAAUAAGAUCCCGAGGCCUAUUUUUAUUUCAUAGGCUGAACAAAACCAAACCCAAAUCAUACCUGGAAGGUGAUGCUUGCAUAUACACAAAGUGUAAUUUGCAGCAGUGUGGAAUUUGUUUAAAUAAUUUUCCUUUCUGAUGCAUUGAACAUGAAUGGUCUGACAGUAGGACACCUUUUCCUGUUGGAAACACUGGAUUUUUCAAGUGAAUGCUUCCUAAGGAAAUCUUUAAUUUACCAAUAUGAAGCAUUGGAGGUUAUUUCCACAUCUAGUUUUUCACCAGAUUUAAUGGGGGUGUCUGCAAGCCUAUGGAAAAUUGCCAGGAUUUUUUUUGAUACCAAGAGGGAUCAAUAAAAAAAUAGGAUCAGCAUAGAAAAGGUGCA
ensembl:lncRNA